GGGACCCGUCUUGAAACACGGACCAAGGAGUCUAGCAUGUGCGCGAGUCAUUGGGACUAAUAACGAAACCUAAAGGCGUAAUGAAAGUGAAGGUUCGCCUAGCGCGAACCGAGGGAGGAUGGACGGUCCUCAGCGGCCGUCCCGCACUCCCUGGGCGUCUCGUUCUCAUCGCGAGAAGAGGCGCACCAAGAGCGUACACGCUGGGACCCGAAAGAUGGUGAACUAUGCCUGGUCAGGACGAAGUCAGGGGAAACCCUGAUGGAGGUCCGUAGCGAUUCUGACGUGCAAAUCGAUCGUCGGAACUGGGUAUAGGGGCGAAAGACUAAUCGAACCAUCUAGUAGCUGGUUCCCUCCGAAGUUUCCCUCAGGAUAGCUGGCGCUCGCUUCUCGCGAGUCUCAUUCGGUAAAGCGAAUGAUUAGAGGCAUUGGGGUCGAAACGGCCUCAACCUAUUCUCAAACUUUAAAUGGGUGAGAUCUCCGGCUUGCUUGAACUGUGAAGCCGCGAGAUAUCGGAUCAGAGUGCCAAGUGGGCCACUUUUGGUAAGCAGAACUGGCGCUGUGGGAUGAACCAAACGCCGAGUUAAAGCGCCUAAAUCGACGCUUAUGGGAUACCAUGAAAGGCGUUGGUAACUUAAGACAGCAGGACGGUGGCCAUGGAAGUCGGAA
rnacentral:rRNA from 1 species